rnacentral:rRNA from 1 species
UGCGAAGGGGGCUAGCGUUGCUCGGAUUGACUGGGCGUAAAGGGCGCGUAGGCGGUUCGUACAGUCAGACGUGAAAUUCCUGGGCUCAACCUGGGGGCUGCGUUUGAUACGUGCGGACUUGAGUGCGGAAGAGGGUCGUGGAAUUCCCAGUGUAGAGGUGAAAUUCGUAGAUAUUGGGAAGAACACCGGUGGCGAAGGCGGCGACCUGGUCCGAUACUGACGCUGAGGCGCGAAAGCGUGGGGAGCAAACAGG